rnacentral:lncRNA from 1 species
GUUGGAGAACAGCUAUUGAGUCACAAGAAAGAAAGACUAGAACAUUAUCAAAGAGGGAUAAUGAAUGUUUAUUGUAAGCAACACACCAGAUUUAAAGCUCUUCUCGAGAGACACAAUCUAUGCUCCCCAAUCCUCCCCAGAAUGUGAACAGGGGAGUUAACCUGUUCCCAGGAGAUCUUGGAACUGUUCAUGCAGCCUUGAACUGAGAUUUCUAUGUUUUGGUGUACUCAGCAGGAAUGGUAUGUCACAAACACCUGGGAAGAGGAACUCCAUUCCAUGAAGUCAUGAAAGGUUCACUGCACCUUGUGACUGGUUCUCUGAUCUUCUUUGAGGCACCAGAAAAUGAUUCAAAGUCAAGUAAGGUCACCUCUUUAUUCAGCAAAGACAGUAGUAAUGAAAAGUUCUAAGGGAGUAAAUACUUCUGAGGGAGAGAUGAACAAAAAGAGAAAGAAGAGAGUGAGAGAGAAACAAAGAGGCAGCAUCUCUUUAGCAGAGUCAUUAUCCACUACUACUGAGCCUACAGUCUGGAUAAAGACAAAGUACUGUUGAAGUAAGGUUUUUCCUUUGCAUUACUGCUUCCAGGAGUGUGAACCUAAGGCUUGAAUUUUUGUAUUCUAUGGAUGAGACACUUCUUGCAUGUGUGUGGGAAAAUUGAGAAAAAGGACAAAAAAGGAUGAAUUCAGACUCAAUUCAUGGUUGCCAUUUUUAUGAUUAAAAUUCUCAGAAG